UUCAAAUCUCUUUCUCUCUCGCUUUCAAACUAGCGGAGCUCGUUUUCAAAAUAGCGGAGCUCGCUUUCUCUCCUGAUCUCGUCUUCUCUACAAAUCGCAGAGGUUGGGCUUCGGUUGGUGUGAGAUUUGGUGAAGCAAUGAAGAAGAUAUUAGGUGAUCAAAGUAAAUGAAGAAGAUGUUGGAGAUGCUGAAGAAACUAUGGAAUUUGAAGCAGAAGAAGAUAAAGUGAUGUGACUCCCAAUUCACAUGCCACACAUGCAGCAACUUCGACUUGUGAAUCACAUCCUCCAAAUAAGAAAAAGAAAAAGGAUCCACUAGCACAAGCAAUUGGUGAUGUGACCAACACCUUGAAAGAGUUUAUGGCAGCUCAAGUCUCCCCACAACUCAAAGGAGAGGAUGUACAUGAAGUGGUUUCUAAAGUAGCAAACCUCAGCAAAUUGCAAGUCUUCAAAGAUGUACUCAUAUUGAUGAGUGGUAACCCCGAAGAAUUUUCUCUACUGAAGUCUCUUAAUGAUACUGAAAAGAGUGAGUGGAUAAGAAUGCUCAUAUGGCAAUAUGAAGGGCAACUAAGAAAUUGAGGGUGGAGCAUGACAAUUUGAAUUUUCAUGGGAUGGAACUAUGGAGAUGAAAAAGUUAUUAUUAUUAUUAUUAUUGCUAUAUUUUUUUGAGAAUAUAAGAUGAAACACUUCGGAUGUGUAUAAUUGAGGGUAUGAGACGGAAUUAUACUGAUGAA